GACUACAGGGGUAUCUAAUCCUGUUUGCUCCCCACGCUUUCGUGCAUGAGCGUCAGUAUUGGCCCAGGGGGCUGCCUUCGCCAUCGGUGUUCCUCCACAUCUCUACGCAUUUCACUGCUACACGUGGAAUUCCACCCCCCUCUGCCAAACUCCAGCCUGGCAGUCUCAAAUGCAGUUCCCAGGUUGAGCCCGGGGAUUUCACAUCUGACUUACCAAACCGCCUGCGCACGCUUUACGCCCAGUAAUUCCGAUUAACGCUCGCACCCUACGUAUUACCGCGGCUGCUGGCACGUAGUUAGCCGGUGCUUCUUAUUCGGGUACCGUCAUCUACACAGGGUAUUAACCCGUGCAAUUUCUUCCCCGCCGAAAGAGCUUUACAACCCGAAGGCCUUCUUCACUCACGCGGCAUGGCUGGAUCAGGCUUGCGCCCAUUGUCCAAAAUUCCCCACUGCAGCCCCCCGUAGG
rnacentral:rRNA from 1 species